rnacentral:rRNA from 1 species
UGAGCAAUCUGCCCUUCACAUCGGAAUAAGCGUUGGAAACGACGUCUAAUGCCGAAUACGACCUCCUUUCGCAUGAUCGGAGGUGGAAAGCUCCGGCGGAGAAGGAUGAGCUCGCGGCCUAUCAGCUAGUUGGUGUGGGUAAUGGCUCACCAAGGCGACGACGGGUAGCCGGCCUGAGAGGGUGACCGGCCACACUGGGACUGAGACACGGCCCAGACUCCUAGGGAGG